rnacentral:misc_RNA from 1 species
CCGUCAAGGGAGAAAUACCGAAAACUCGACAAAGUCAUUUGUAAUCUCGCGUGUGUGCGCGCGAGUGUAUUUAUUUUUAACAAUUGUGGCCUGGGUUGUGGCGAACAACGCAGGCAUCAUCUGAUAAUCCGUCGUUUCGAGAGCAAAGACGAAAUAAGGCGACGCGAGUAUGUUCAAAAGCGGCUAAAGAACCGGAACUGCCGUUCCUCGACGGUGGCGAGUGUUCGAUAACAAUAAUUUUCAUUCCUCAAUCGUAUAAGCGAGAUUAUCAACCGCGCGAAUAAAUACGAGUCGCAAAUCGGCCGUUCGGCGGACAGGAGGGAGGAAGAUUCGGUGAAGCCGGAGAAUUGAUACGUAGAUGAGAAAUCAGCGCUCGGUGAGCUGAACAAGGAAAAGUGUGCGUGUGGGAAAGGUUCGAAGAGCGGUCAAGACUUUGCGCUGAUAUCGGCGAAUAUCAGCGGUGCGAGUAUCUCGGCUUCACCUCGUAUGGCUCAGGGUAAAAUAUGGCCACGGUAUACGAGAGCCCGUUCCUUUCGAACAGGCUUCGCCAGAUCGAGGAGAGAUACGAGGAGCCGACUACGUUCGGCCGUUGCGACUGCACUAGCUACAGCUACCUCGCCCUCAGCGUCGUCCUCUUCGCCGUCGGCACGGCGAUAACGAUUCUAGCCCUCGGCGAUGUCGCCAACGGCUACAUAUUCUCACACCUAGGACACAUGUGGCUCGUAGGACCGAUAUUCAUAUGCUCCGGACUGAUGGUCGCUGUUAAGUGCAUGCUCUACCUCAGGCGAAAAUCCGUCAUACAGAUGAUAUACCAUCAGCGACAACUAUUCCGACAUUUACAGGAACUGGCCGGCGCUCAGGCGGUGAAUGGGUCCGGCACAGGAACCCCUGGCCCGCCCCCGUACGAGGUCAUCACCCAGGGUCAAGGACCAAGUGAGCUGCCGCCUCCUUCGUACGCCGAAGCUGUCGCUCUUCUUCAGCAAGCAGGUGUUCAAGAUGACAAGCUCCCUGGAGUUGCGACAUCCUGUACAUCGGUAGCAGUGGGCGAGGCGGGAAGGACCAAGCCUUGAAUGACCCACGUCGGAAUUCACUCUUUUGUGGAUACCGGAUUGCAUUGUGUGUCACUGCUUCCUGCUUCGAUUGGAUAGUCAGUACAUUGGGGAAAAAAAAGAAGAACGACAGCAACUUUUGUAUUGUUACACAGCUUGGAACUGAAUAGAGAGACUGCCGUUGUCACUGCAGCGGACAAUUUGUCGACCUUCACAUAUUGUCGGCUGGCUGGGUACUGGUGCUGAGGAAACUUAGAAGCUUGAAGUAUCGUUGGAGUAGUAAUAAUAAUAAUAACAACAAUAAUAACAAUAAUAAUAACAUCAACAACAACAACAACAGCAACAACCAACAAUUAUAAGAACAAGAGGAAGUAUAUUGUCGAGUGUGCGUCAGCCACCUCAGGAUACUCUUCUUGUGGAUAUAAUGAUGACGAUAAUAAUAAAAAUAGUAAUAAGUAUUAUAACUAUGGACAAUCGAGUUAGUUAGUUAGUUAUUACGAUCAAAACUGUUGCCUUCUACGAGAUAGGUGAACCAAUUAAUUAGGUAUGCAUGUAUACCAAAUUACCCGUACUUUAGUUACAAUCCCACGUCUGAUGCGUGCGUAUAGUCAAUGUACGUGAUUCGUACGGAAGUGUAAUGUCUCUACAAUUUCCAAUUUAUUUACGCUACUUACAUCACUAGAAAUAGGGCACGUAAAAUAUUAUUUUUACCUUCAAGUUAUCAUACGAUGUUUAACCUGAUCGGCAUAUGUACUGCUGCUGUACGUAUUUGCUUAAAGCGUCGUUUACUUAACGUGUAUUACUUUCAGGCGUCCGAAGGCAGCUUUUGCUUUUUUUAUUUAUUUUUUUUAAAUUGUUUUAUUUUUAUUUUUUUUACUCUUACAUGCGAAUGCAAGCCUUGACGAUGCCCAAGUCUUCCAAACCUUUCAGACUUAAUUUUAAUUGAAAGGGGUUGAAGAGAAUAUCCAAUGACUGUUAACAGGGAGAGAAAAAGACGUGUAACAAGGGUAAAAAAUUAAGCAGGCGGCGGAUUCUCAAUUUCACCCAAACCAGUUGCUUUUCACUAGCUGUCAUUUAAACGGCGGGUAAACUUUAAUAACCUUGAUGUCUGAUUCAAUUAUUCUUGCCAAAUCAAUUGCUUAUUGUUUCCCAUUGUAAGGUAAUCCAUCAUUUUACACUUCUCGAUGGAUUAAAUUUUAUCAGAAAAAAAAUGUUACUUGAAAGUUAAUGAAACCGAUAUAGUUUUUCUUUAAACUGCAAAGUCUCUUGCGCAAAACGUGUUGUUUUCUUUUUUUUCGUCUAGUUUUAUACAAACGCAUCAACUUCUAACAAUUGAUCAGCUCGUGAUUCUAAUGAUUAUAAGUACUAUGAUACGAAUAUAAUAACAAUGAUCAAUAGUUACUUGACGUAUUUAAAAUACUUGCAUACAUACGCUAUAUUCACACAUGUAUAUAAUAGUAACAGUAACAUGCGCAUAAGUGAAUAGCAAAGAACUAUACAUAUGGUGGCCAGAUGCUAGGCAAAAUAGUUUUAAAAGUACAUAACUUUAACGAGUAAACGUAUAGUUUCGUAUAGUAUAUAGGUAGUUAGGCAAUAUACAAUGUAUGUUAUGAAAAAAUUAUUAUAAUGUAGUGAAGAAAUCACGAUUGAAUAUUUUUUUAUAUAUAAUAAAAAAAAAAAAAAAAGGAGGGAAUGAAAAGAGAAACGACACUCACAGUAAGACUGCUGUUUUGCCUUAGAAGAAAAAAGAAGAAAAAAAAAAAAAAGAAUUAAAUAAUACGAAGCAACAAAGAACAGAAGGAUAUGUUACUCGCUUAUUUUGUCGACGCUGUGAAGUAUUUUCUUCCCUUUUCAUAUUGUUAUUAAUUUAAUUUCUUUCCAAUCAAAGUUCUCCUCUUUCUCACGUCAUUUCAGCUCGCAAAUUGUGAGGGAUAAAGAAAAACGCACAGCGUUCAUACAAUAGAAAUAGAUGUUUGAAAGAUGAUAUUUGAACUCGAACAGUAUUAACAAGAAUAUGAUAUGUCAUAGUACUUAUUGUUAGAAAAUUUUUGAUUCAAAUAAUGGGUGAAGGUAGUUAACAAGGAUGACUUAAAAUCACGUAAUGUUUCAUUUGAUAUUAAACGAAAUUUUCCACUCUCGCAAGUUUUGCGAGUCAAAACAUAGUUGAAAUAAUACUAUUGAAAAGAUAAAUCUCUUGGCCAUUCCGAACUGAAAAUAAAAAUUUGAGGAGGCAAUGAAUAAAUGAAUAAUUCUCAAAUACUUGGAAAACAUUAUAUCGAAUGUGUACGCAAUUUAUACGUGUACCAAUAACAUCAGAGUUUGCCUUGAGACCAGUUCUACGCAUAUUUAUGUUGAUAGUAAACAGUGUUAUUUCAACUUACCGCCCUAAAGACGUUUAUGAAUUAAUAAAUUUUCGCGACUGUUUAUCAAUGAUAAAUUAUUUUAAAUCGCGCAACGCUUUUUCACCUCUAAAAUAUUAUUUUAUUCCUUGAGCUUGGAUUGUUGAAUAAAUCAGACGAAAAUUUGUCAUGUGCACAAGAUUCAGAAAGUUUAUUUCAUUUAUUUAUUUUUCUUUUUUUGUUUUUUCCGUUAUAGGACUUUGUUUUUGAUUAAAUAUCAAACUUGUUUAGCUUAUAGUAUACAAAAUAAAAGGAAUAGAAAAUUUAAAAAAAAAUGAGAAUAACCGUUGCGCUAUGAUAUGCAGUUACGCAUAUUUAUUGUGAAACAUAAAGAUUGUACAGUAAAAUAAAUUAGAAAACAACGAAAAUUGA